UCAGACCUACGGGAGGCAGCAGUGAGGAAUAUUGGUCAAUGGACGGAAGUCUGAACCAGCCAUGCCGCGUGCAGGAAGACGGCUCUAUGAGUUGUAAACUGCUUUUGUACAAGGGUAAACCUGAAUACGUGUAUUCAGCUGAAAGUACUGUACGAAUAAGGAUCGGCUAACUCCGUGCCAGCAGCCGCGGUAAUACGGAGGAUCCAAGCGUUAUCCGGAUUCAUUGGGUUUAAAGGGUGCGUAGGUUGUUUUAUAGGUUAGCGGUGAAAUACCGAUGCUCAACAUCG
rnacentral:rRNA from 1 species